GGAGUUGUGGCUCCAUGGUAGAGCACUUGCCUGGCAUGCAUGAGAUCCUGGUUCAAUCCUCAGCGCCA
rnacentral:tRNA from 1 species